rnacentral:rRNA from 1 species
GUCCAGGGCUACACACGUGCUACAAUGGGCGGUACAAAGCGGAGCGAAGCCGCGAGGCAUAAGCGAAUCGCCGAAAGCCGCCCGUAGUUCGGAUUGAAGUCUGAAACCCGACUUCAUGAAGUUGGAAUCGCUAGUAAUCGCGCAUCAGCAUGGCGCGGUGAAUACGUUCCCGGGCCUUGUACACACCGCCCGUGUAGUCU